GAAAUGCGAUAAUUAAUGUGAAUUGCAGAAUUCAGUGAAUCAUCGAGUCUUUGAACGCACAUUGCGCCCCCUGGUAUUCCGGGGGGCAUGUCUGUCCGAGCGUCAUUGCUGCCCUCAAGCACGGCUUGUGUGUUGGGCUUCCGUCCCUGGCAACGGGGACGGGCCCAAAAGGCAGUGGCGGCACCAUGUCUGGUCCUCGAGCGUAUGGGGCUUUGUCACCCGCUCCCGUAGGUCCAGCUGGCAGCUAGCCUCGCAACCAAUCUUUUUAACCAGGUUGACCUCGGAUCAGGUAGGGAUACCCGCUGAACUUAAGCA
rnacentral:misc_RNA from 1 species